rnacentral:rRNA from 1 species
GACGAACGCUGGCGGCGUGCUUAACACAUGCAAGUCGAACGGAAAGGCCUCUUUCGGGGGGUACUCGAGUGGCGAACGGGUGAGUAACACGUGAGUAACCUGCCCUUGACUUUGGGAUAACUUCAGGAAACUGGGGCUAAUACCGGAUAGGAGAUCCUGCUGCACGGUGGGGGUUGGAAAGUUUCGGCGGUUGGGGAUGGACUCGCGGCGUAUCAGCUUGUUGGUGGGGUAGUGGCUUACCAAGGCUUUGACGGGUAGCCGGCCUGAGAGGGUGACCGGCCACCCUGGCACUUAGGGGCGGCCCAGGCUCCGACGGGAGGCAGAAGUGGGGAAUCUUGCACAAGGGGUGGAAGCCGGAUGCAGCAACGCCGUGGGCGGGAUGACGGCCCUCGGGUUGUAAACCGCUUGCGCUAAUGACGAAGCUUUGUGUGACGGUAGUGGGUAAAGAAGCACCGGCUAACUACGUG